rnacentral:lncRNA from 1 species
AUCAGCUCAUACACCAAUCUACAAUGUGAUAGUUUGCAGGUGAUUCGCAUACAAUUUUAACUAGUUACGUUAACUACAGUAGAAGCAGAACAUAAAAAUAAUUUUUAUAUAAUCUAAGCAUGCUGAUUCUAAAUCAUAAUCACCUAAGAUAGUCUAACAUGUAUAAAUAAAUUUAUAAAUCAGAUCUAAAAUAAAAAUAGGA